AAGGACCCCCAACAUUUGAACAGCCAAAGAUGACUCUUGAAAAGCUUUUUGAGUAUGGAAACAUGCUUGUAGAAGAGCAAGAAAAUGAAAAGAGAGUUUAGUUUUCAGACAAGUACUUGAAAGAAGCAGCUCUUGGAGAGGCAAAUGAAGAUGCCAUUAGCUAAUGAUGCACGUAUUUUUCUAGAAUGUGCCACAAACUCAGAUUAUGGAUUUCCAAUGCCGCCCCAAGGAAAAUAUUAUUUUGUUGAUUCUGGCUAUACAAACAUGUCUGGUUUUCUUUCGCCAUAUCGAGGGGAAAUGUAUCAUUUGGGUCAGUACACAGAUCUUAAUCCCAUAAGAAAAAAAGAGUUUUUCAAUUAUCGACACUCUUCCUUGAGAAAUGUCAUUGAGCGGUGUUGAAGGCGUGUUGAAGGCUCACUUUCCAAUCAUAAAGCAAAUGCCUUCAUAUGAUCUAAGAAUACAAAAGUACAUCGUCAUUGCUUGCUGUGGGAUUCACAAUUUUAUAAGGACAAAUGCAGAAGCAGAUGUAUAUUUUGAUGGAGGUGAAGGAAAUUCUGAAGUAUAGGCCACUACUUUACAAAGCACGGAUGAAACUUUGACUAAUAGUGUAGAGUUUGGUAUUUCUAGAACUCAUAUACGUGAAAUGACUCAUGUUCGUGAUGAAAUUGCUGAUCAUAUAUAGAGAGCAAGUCGACGAUAGUGACAUUGAGUAAAUACAUUAGUUGAUUGUUGUGACUCGUUUAAUACUUUACUUUAAGUUUGGACAAUUAUCAAUUUAUACGUUUUUAUUUUACUAUCUAGACUUUAUUGAUUUUGUGUUAUCUCAUGGAUAGAUAUUAAGUUUUGAAAUUUGAGAUUA